GAAAUGCGAUAAGUAAUGCGAAUUGCAGAAUUUCCGUGAGUCAUCGAAUCUUUGAACGCACAUUGCGCCCAUUGGUAUUCCGAUGGGCAUGCCUGUUCGAGUAUCAUGAAAUCUUCAAAGUAAAUCUUUUGUUAACUCAAUUGGUUUCUACUUUGGUAUUGGAGGUCUUUGCAGCUUCACACCUGCUCCUCUUUGUUCAUUAGCUGGAUCUCAGUGUUAUGCUUGGUUCCACUCGGCGUGAUAAGUUAUCUAUCGCUGAGGACACUGUAAAAGGUGGCCAAGGUAAAUGCAGAUGAACCGCUUCUAAUAGUCCAUUGACUUGGACAAUACUUUUAUGAUCUGAUCUCAAAUCAGGUAGGACUACCCGCUGAACUUAAGC
rnacentral:misc_RNA from 1 species